CACGGGGGGGGAGCAGUGUUGUCGGAAUCACUGGGCGUAAAGGGCGUGUAGGCGGUCAGGUAAGUGAGAUGUGAAAUGCCCCGGCUCACCCGGGGACCGGCAUCUCAUACUGCUUGGCUUGAGUACGGGAGAGGAUGUGGGAAUUCCUGGUGUAGCGGUGAAAUGCGUAGAUAUCAGGAGGAACACCGGUGGCGAAGGCGCACAUCUGGCCCGAUACUGACGCUGAGGCGCGAAAGCUAGGGGAGCAAACGGG
rnacentral:rRNA from 1 species